rnacentral:rRNA from 1 species
GCAUAUCAAUAAGCGGAGGAAAAGCAUAUCAAUAAGCGGAGGAAAAGAAACCAACAGGGAUUGCCUUAGUAACGGCGAGUGAAGCGGCAAAAGCUCAAAUUUGAAAUCGGCCAUCAGGUCGAGUUGUAAUUUGUAGAUUGUACUUUGAGAGCGGAUUAAAGUCUGUUGGAACACAGCGCCUUAGAGGGUGACAGCCCCGUAAAAUCUAUUCUCAUUGUAAGAUACUUUCGAAGAGUCGAGUUGUUUGGGAAUGCAGCUCUAAGUGGGAGGUAAAUUCCUUCUAAAGCUAAAUAUUGACGAGAGACCGAUAGCGAACAAGUACUGUGAAGGAAAGAUGAAAAGCACUUUGAAAAGAGAGUGAAAAAGUACGUGAAAUUGUUAAAAGGGAAGGGUAUUGAAUCAGACUUGGUGCUGUUGUUCAACUGUGUCUCGGCACAGUGUACUCAGCAGUACUAGGCCAAGGUGGGGUGUUUGGGAGUGAAAAAGAAGUUGGAACGUAACUCUUCGGAGUGUUAUAGCCUACUUUCAUAGCUCCUCAGGCGCCUCAGGACUGCGCUUCGGCAAGGACCUUGGCAUAAUGAUUCUAUACCGCCCGUCUUGAAACACGGACC